AACGAACGCUGGCGGCAGGCUUAACACAUGCAAGUCGAGCGGGCGCUUUCGGGCGUCAGCGGCGGACGGGUUAGUAACGCGUGGGAACGUGCCCUUUGCUCUGGAAUAGCCCUGGGAAACCGGGGGUAAUACCGGAUGUGCCCCGAGGGGGAAAGGUUUACCGGCAAGGGAUCGGCCCGCGUCUGAUUAGGUAGUUGGUGCGGUAACGGCGCACCAAGCCGACGAUCGGUAGCUGGUUUGAGAGGAUGAUCAGCAACACUGGGACUGAGACACGGCCCAGACUCCUACGGGAGGCAGCAGUGGGGAAUCUUAGACAAUGGGCGAAAGCCUGAUCUAGCCAUGCCGCGUGGGUGAUGAAGGCCUUAGGGUCGUAAAGCCCUUUCGCCGGGGAAGAUAAUGACGGUACCCGGUAAAGAAACCCCGGCUAACUCCGUGCCAGCCGCCGCCGUAAAAC
rnacentral:rRNA from 1 species